AGAAAGUUAUUUACGAUCACAUAUAGUGCGGGUGAUCCAGCUUUUGUGGUCCCUUUUGGUUACAUUUCAUGUGUCAACUUUUCAAACAUCUAAUCUUUGAUUAUUUUACAUGCUUAAAUAAAAUGGUUUAUUUCAUUAUCAUAGUACCAUAUAUAUAUAGUUCUGUUUAUAAAAUAUAUUUGCAUGAAACCGUCCAACCAAUUGGGGUCUACAGCUGCUGUUGUUUACUUUGUGUUGAAUGCCGAUUACCCAUUUGACUAAGUAACUCUUUUAUAUUGUCAACUUUCCAGUUUGUUUAUUUGGAUUGCUUCAUGUUUUAAGCCAUGUCGUUUAUUUAGUAUAAUGGUGGGCUCUAACCAAAUCCUGGCUGCUGAAUAGUAUGACGAUCGGUUUUCUCUUGCUUCAUUUAUGAUUCUUG